UGAGUAACCUGCCCUUAACUCUGGGAUAAGCCUGGGAAACUGGGUCUAAUACCGGAUAUGACUCCUCAUCGCAUGGUGGGGGUGGAAAGCUUUUUGUGGUUUUUGGAUGGACUCGCGGCCUAUCAGCUUGUUGGUGAGGUAAUGGCACACCAAGGCGACGACGGGUAGCCGGCCUGAGAGGGUGACCGGCCACACUGGGACUGAGACACGGCCCAGACUCCUACGGGAGGCAG
rnacentral:rRNA from 1 species